rnacentral:tRNA from 1 species
GGAGAGGUGGGUGAGUUGGUUGAAACCGCUCGACUCGAAAUCGAGUAGACGCCCAAAAGCGUCUCGCGGGUUCGAAUCCCGCCCUCUCCGCCA